rnacentral:rRNA from 1 species
AUUGAACGCUGGAGGCAUGCCUUACACAUGCAAGUCGAACGGCAGCACGGGAGCAAUCCUAGUGGCGAGUGGCGAACGGGUGAGUAAAGUAUCGGAACGUGCCCAGUCGUGGGGGAUAACGUAGCGAAAGUUACGCUAAUACCGCAUACGAUCUAUGGAUGAAAGCGGGGGAUCGUAAGACCUCGCGCGAUUGGAGCGGCCGAUAUCAGAUUAGGUAGUUGGUGGGGUAAAGGCUCACCAAGCCGACGAUCUGUAGCUGGGCUGAGAGGACGACCAGCCACACUGGGACUGAGACACGGCCCAGACUCCUACGGGAGGCAGCAGUGGGGAAUUUUGGACAAUGGGCGAAAGCCUGAUCCAGCCAUGCCGCGUGCAGGAUGAAGGCCUUCGGGUUGUAAACUGCUUUUGUACGGAACGAAAAGGUUUGGCCUAAUAAGCUGAGCUCAUGACGGUACCGUAAGAAUAAGCACCGGCUAACUACGUGCCAGCCGCCGCCGUAA